rnacentral:misc_RNA from 1 species
GUGAUGGGGGAAGGAGCUGGUGUUCUACUUUUAGAAGAACUAGAACAUGCGAAGAAAAGAGGUGCAAAUAUCUACGCAGAAUUUCUUGGAGGAAGUUUUACCUGUGAUGCCUAUCACAUGACUGAACCACAUCCUGAUGGAGUUGGUGUCACUCUCUGUAUAGAAAAAGCAUUAGUCCAAUCUGGGGUAUCUAAGGAGGAUGUAAAUUACGUAAAUGCACAUGCUACAUCCACCCCAGCUGGUGACCUUAAAGAGUAUGAAGCUCUCAUGCGAUGUUUUGGCCAAAAUACCGAUUUGAGAGUGAACUCCACGAAGUCCAUGAUAGGCCAUCUACUGGGAGCAGCUGGAGCUGUGGAAGCUAUUGCAGCAAUACAGGCAAUACGGACCGGAUGGAUUCAUCCAAACAUCAAUCUGGAAAUUCCGGAUGAAGGCGUGGACACAAGUGUUCUGGUUGGCUCAAAGAAAGAGAGAUUGGAUGUUAAGGUUGCAUUGUCUAACUCAUUUGGGUUCGGCGGCCACAACUCAUCAAUACUUUUUGCACCAUACAAGUGAUACAAGGCUACCUCAACCAUGAUGUAUUAAUGCAAAAGGUGUGUAGAUCUGUAAUUUAUCAGUCUUAUUGAUUUUGGUAUGGUAAUUGGCUACAAGAGAAG